CCUACGGGAGGCAGCAGUGGGGAAUCUUAGACAAUGGGCGCAAGCCUGAUCUAGCCAUGCCGCGUGAGUGAUGAAGGCCCUAGGGUCGUAAAGCUCUUUCCAACUGUGAAGAUAAUGACGGUAGCAGUAGAAGAAACCCCGGCUAACUCCGUGCCAGCAGCCGCGGUAAUACGGAGGGGGUUAGCGUUGUUCGGAAUUACUGGGCGUAAAGCGUACGUAGGCGGAUUAAUAAGUUAGAGGUGAAAUCCCAGGGCUCAACCCUGGAACUGCCUUUAAAACUGUUAGUCUUGAGAUCGAGAGAGGUGAGUGGAAUUCCAAGUGUAGAGGUGAAAUUCGUAGAUAUUUGGAGGAACACCAGUGGCGAAGGCGGCUCACUGGCUCGAUACUGACGCUGAGGUACGAAAGUGUGGGGAGCAAACAGGAUUAGAUACCCUGGUAGUCCACACCGUAAACGAUGAAUGCCAGACGUCAGCAAGCAUGCUUGUUGGUGUCACACCUAACGGAUUAAGCAUUCCGCCUGGGGAGUACGGUCGCAAGAUUAAAACUCAAAUGAAUUGACGG
rnacentral:rRNA from 1 species